UCAUCCGUUACGGGAUUUCGCGAGACUUGAAGAGAAAUAUUGACGACGCCAUUUUUUUGCGAAGCGGGUAAAAGCUACAAACUAAAGAGCGAAUUUAGAGCGAGUUCUUUGUUGACAUUGACUGAAUAUGUUAUUUUUAAAUUGCUGGAUAAUGUUUUCACCAGACCAGUUCAGUAAACAAGGGACAUCAUUGGAGGUUACGGCCCAGGAGGGAGCGACUGAGUGAUGGGGUGCAAAAGCGAUCUCGACAUUUACUUGAUGAAUCAUCCCGAACAGCACUUGUCGAUCAUCUCCUGCUCAAUGAGGAUGAAUCCAUAACUGAGAACUGAGGACGAUACUUCUCUCAACAUCGCAUUGUUUUAAGACAAAGCAACUAAGUGUGGUUUGUCAUCGUCAACAACCGAACCAGGCUCAGCUUCCGUUGGAGUCUGCCAAGUUGAGAUCACUGUACCUAACAGGGUUGAGUGUUACAAACUUAAUGAAGUGAUCCAAAGCCAUAUAUUGUUCAUAUGCACGCAAGAGACCUGGAAAUGCUCUGUUUACAUUCAGAUCAAAGCAAUGGCAAAACAUAUUAAGUAUGAAAGUAUGUGUAAAUGAAGCAGGACACACUAUUGUGUAUGUAUGCUCAUUGUUAGGAAGUUGCUCAGGACCAUUUUUUGUGGGAACACAUUUCUAGUGAUUAUCUUUUUGCCAAUUAGCUCACCUAAGCACAGUGUGCCAUUGUUGAGCUUUUGUGAUCACCUUUUGUCUGUCAUGCUCAGUGUGUUGUGGGGCGUCACCAUUUGCCUUGCUUACAAUUUAGAGGCCACAUAAAUUGUCCAAUCUUCAUGAAAUUUGGUCAGAACAUUUGUCCCAAUGAUAUCUUGGACAAGUUAAAAAAUGGUUCUGGUUUAUGGUCCGUCAUCAUGAAACUUGGUCAGAAGAUGUGUCCCUAUGAUAUCUUGGGCAAGUUCAAAAAUGGUUCUGGUUGGUUGAAAAACAUUGGCACCAGGGAGUGGGGCAUUUUUCCUUAUAUGUCUAUAUAUAGCUAUAAAAAAAACUUUUUAACACUCAAGAGGCCACAUUUAUUUUCCGGUCUUCAUGAAACUUGGUCAAACAAUGUGUCCCAAUGAUUUCUCGGAAAAGUUCGAAAAUGGUUCCGGUUGUUUUAAAAACAUGGCCAGGGGGAGAGGCAUUUUUCCUUAUAUGGCUAUGGUAAAAACAUGUCAACACUCUAAACAUGUCAACACUCUAAGUCACAUUUAUAGUCCAAUCGCCAUGAUGAAAAAUUAUGUGAUUAUGGUUAUUCUUCAGCAAUAUUUAUAUCCUGCCUCAAACGAUAAUGGCUCUUAUGCAUUAGCUUACAUGUUUGUUGCCUGCAUAACUGCAGAAUAUUAGCUGUUUUCUUCCAAUAUGUUAUUUGUUAUAUCAACAACUUGCUUAAUAUGUGUUAUGUUUGAUAAAUUGCUUAAUUUUUGUUAUGCAAUGUGUAUUGAUAUUUGCUCAUGAAAUAUGAAGUUUUGAUGAAAUAUUAAACUGUAAAAACUA